rnacentral:rRNA from 1 species
UACGAAGGGUGCAAACGUUGCUCGGAAUUAUUGGGCGUAAAGCGCACGUAGGCGGCUUGGCAAGUCGGAUGUGAAAUCCCACGGCUCAACCGUGGAACUGCUUGGCAUACUGGCGGUCUUGAGCAACCUAGGGGCGAGCGGAACAAAUGGUGGAGCGGUGAAAUGCGUAGAUAUCAUUUGGAACGCCAAUGGUGAAAACAGCUCGCUGGGGGUUUGCUGACGCUGAGACACGAAAGCCAGGGGAGCAAACGGG